AUUGGUUUUGUCCUUGAUUGCAUUGCUGAACCCGCAUGUUUUGAACCAUGCCCGCAUACCGAAUGCCUCAUGAUGGGAAUGCAGAUAACCUGCAGUAGCUUUUCCUUUGUCGACUUGUCUCGGAUUAUCUUGCAGGUUGUGUGGACAGAGCAGCUCGGCUUUUGUUCUAUGCAGGAUUGAUGUAUGUUUUAUCUGUGGUUAGGUUUGCGGUUUGAAUGCUGCGAGGAUACCUCUUUGUUCACGGCGAGGCUUUUGGCUUGAUGCAGAUUGGCGUAUCAGUUGUGAUGAAACAUACAGCGUAUGUACGAGCCCAUGUCGACAAUGAGGAUUUGUUAGCUUGGAGAGGGCAUGGUUACAUGGAUGGCUCAUGACUGUGCGUAUUCUGAACCAAAACGUGGACUGUUUUUCUUUACUUUGUGCUGAGUGGAUUCAAAUGAACUUCUUCCUUGGGUCGGUUUUGGUUGCAGCAAGCUUAUGCGGUGUGGAGGAUGAAGGAUGCAGGCCGGUUUGAGUUUCAACAUGGAUAUUAACUUGAAGUGUUGUAUAGUACGGCUGAAGUGCGAACGAAGUUUGGUUUUUUUUUGGAGUAGAUGCAAGUCUUUGUUUGGGUGCAGACCUGAGCUAGUGUGACAGGUAUGGUGUUGUUGGAACUGUUUGAAGCCCUCUUGUAUAGACCUUGUUCAUUUGCAAUGGAAGUGACUAUGCAUUCUAUGUGAAUUUAAAGGGGACUGUGUGGUAUGAAGAUGAUCAUGAGGAAAUCGAAGGGUACGACGGCAUGAUGCAAUGGGGAGUAAACAAGAUGAAUUUUAUAAUCAUGGUGGAACUUAGGAUUAGGAAUAUGAAGAUUGAAUUCUAGCUUUUGUAUAGAUUUUGUGUAAAUUGGUGUGGAUGUAAUGGAGAUAUUUUUUGUAAUGUAUUUUGGGUCUUGAGAUGUAAUGGAUGUGUAAUAUAAUUGGCUUUGUAAUGAAA